AAUUCGGAAUUCGCAGUUGCCUCAACAGGUUCUCGUCUCUCGGAUGGUGUGUGCUAGGUGAUAUCUGUGGAGAAUAUUAACUUUCCCUCGUUUUUUUUUAUUAAUUCUUUUUUUAUUCGAAUUCAACACCAUAUUGAGAAUCACGUUGCAUUGCAUUAAAGAUCAAUAUUUUUGGAGAAUAUCUUCUAUGUAUAAGGUAGGUUUUAUUCCCGUUUUUAAAAUUUGAUAUGAUUGUAAAUACCGGUAAUUAUUUGUAUAUCGAUUUUUUUCCCAAAUGAGAAGUGAUCUCAAUAUCGUAAAUGUCAACGCUUUAAUUUUUAAACGUUGUAAAAUUGCAUCAUAUUAGAGUUCUAUUUCACUAAUUCCAUCAAGAGAUUCUCAGUGAUAGUAAACCACUUACAUAUGCAUUUUCAUUGGCUAUUCGGCGUCUUCUUGACGAAAGUUUAGACAUGCUAUCAACUAAAUGAGUUUUAAAUUCAUGUCCGAUUGAUUCUUUUCUCUUAAUGAAAAAAGAGUUACUUCUAGAUAGAUAAUUUUAAAGGAAAGUACGCAUACUAUUAUAUAAUAUCGCGAUUCGGAUAAAUAUAGUCCAAGAUGUCAUAUUGCGACCAUUGUUAAACUUGAUGAUAAUUUAAUUUGACAUUUUCGUCAUGAAUAGAAUGCCGAAAUAAAAAUGCUAUUAUACGUUUAAGUAGAUAAUGGUUGUAUAAGUUUCACUAUCAUAUCUGUGAAAAUGAAAACUGCCAAAAUCCGACACUUUAAAGUAUUCCACUUAUUUCAAGUGAUCCGUGUAAUUUAAAUAAUAAUAAUGCAUUACGAGAAUUUUUUUUUUCAAAGGAUGGUUGUCGACGAUCAUAAGCAAUGUAAUAUUCCUAAGCAAUGUAAUAUUCCUCAUAUGCAAUCAUGCAUAAACAAUGCAGGAGGACUAUCGUGAGAUCGGUUUGAUCAAAUAUCUGCGAAUCAAAAGUACUUUACCCUUGAUUUGAAAACGAAACUGUUGAAGAGGUUCAGUGUUCUACAGAGAGCAGUUUGCAGUGAAUAGGAGAGCCCGCGCAGUCAUUUAUUUAUGAAUAGUACUCACACGGCUUGGUUUACAAUUUGUAAUGCAUAUGAUAGACAACACAGCAAGAGACUUGUUUUUUGCAUUCACUCAUGCAUUCUCUAUCUCUCUCUAGAUUUGCGUUGAAUUAAUGCACCACGAUCCCUAAUUCGCGACACAUCUUGAUUUUGUCAAAAGGUGUUCUCAAGCUAUUUUAUGACCUUGUAUCUUAAUGCAUAUGAAAGGUGAUUAAUUUAGAUCCAUCAAACAAAGGAAAUGUACCACACCAUAAAGUUACGAUAUCAUGGUUUUGUAUCCUAGAAGAACAAAUUCUAAGUUUUUCGAGCUUGUUAAAGUAAACUGGUUCUUUUUUUUCUUAGUUCACCUUUAAAGAACCAUGAAGCUUGAUAAAACAGCAACAUAAUUUUAUGGUACUUUUUUCUUUUCAUUUUAAUCUAUAAAUAUUAAAGUUCCAAAAACCCAAUUUUGUCAUACCUUUGAAGCAAUUUGUCAAGAGGGGUUAAGGAAAAUGCA
rnacentral:misc_RNA from 1 species